rnacentral:rRNA from 1 species
UACGUAGGGCGCAAGCGUUGUCCGGAAUUAUUGGGCGUAAAGAGCUCGUAGGCGGCUUGUCACGUCGGUUGUGAAAGCCCGGGGCUUAACCCCGGGUCUGCAGUCGAUACGGGCAGGCUAGAGUGUGGUAGGGGAGAUCGGAAUUCCUGGUGUAGCGGUGAAAUGCGCAGAUAUCAGGAGGAACACCGGUGGCGAAGGCGGUUCUCUGGGCCUGUACUGACGCUGAGGAGCGAAAGCGUGGGGAGCGAACAGG